rnacentral:rRNA from 1 species
AACGAACGCUGGCGGCAUGCCUAACACAUGCAAGUCGAACGAGACCUUCGGGUCUAGUGGCGCACGGGUGCGUAACGCGUGGGAACCUGCCCUUAGGUUCGGAAUAACUCCCCGAAAGGGGUGCUAAUACCGGAUAAUGUCUUCGGACCAAAGAUUUAUCGCCUUUGGAUGGGCCCGCGUUGGAUUAGCUUGUUGGUAGGGUAAAAGCCUACCAAGGCGACGAUCCAUAGCUGGUCUGAGAGGAUGAUCAGCCACACUGGGACUGAGACACGGCCCAGACUCCUACGGGAGGCAGCAGUGGGGAAUAUUGGACAAUGGGCGAAAGCCUGAUCCAGCAAUGCCGCGUGAGUGAUGAAGGCCUGAGGGUUGUAAAGCUCUUUUACCCGGGAUGAUAAUGACAGUACCGGGAGAAUAAGCUCCGGCUAACUCCGUG